AUACCUACAGGGCAUGAGGAAUACCAUGAUCAAGAAGGUGGUUUCUUCAGGGCAAGGGUUUUCCAUUGACUUUGGUUGGGAUGACUCCUGUGAUUUCCCCAAAUGUGGGAAACUCAACUGCAUACUUUAUGGUAGUGGGGGACUGCACUCAUGCUGUUUCCUG